rnacentral:rRNA from 1 species
GGACUACACGGGUAUCUAAUCCUGUUUGCUCCCCUUGCUUUCGCGCCUCAGCGUCAGGUCUAAGCUAGAAAAUCGCCUUCGCCACAGGUGUUCUUCCACAUAUCUACGCAUUUCACCGCUACUUGUGGAAUUCCAUUUUCUCCGCCUAUCCUCAAGAAAGCCAGUCUCAUAUGCAGUUCCGAGGUUGAGCCCCGGGAUUUCACAUCUGACUUAGCUUCCCGCCUACACGCCCUUUACGCCCAAUAAAUCCGAUUAACGCUUGCACCCUCCGUAUUACCGCGGCUGCUGGCAC